rnacentral:rRNA from 2 species
AGAGUUUGAUCCUGGCUCAGAUUGAACGCUGGCGGCAGGCUUAACACAUGCAAGUCGAGCGGAAACGAUGAUAGCUUGCUAUCAGGCGUCGAGCGGCGGACGGGUGAGUAAUACUUAGGAAUCUACCUAGUAGUGGGGGAUAGCACGGGGAAACUCGUAUUAAUACCGCAUACGACCUACGGGAGAAAGGGGGCAGUUUACUGCUCUCGCUAUUAGAUGAGCCUAAGUCGGAUUAGCUAGAUGGUGGGGUAAAGGCCUACCAUGGCGACGAUCUGUAGCUGGUCUGAGAGGAUGAUCAGCCACACCGGGACUGAGACACGGCCCGGACUCCUACGGGAGGCAGCAGUGGGGAAUAUUGGACAAUGGGGGAAACCCUGAUCCAGCCAUGCCGCGUGUGUGAAGAAGGCCUUUUGGUUGUAAAGCACUUUAAGCAGUGAAGAAGACUCCGUGGUUAAUACCCACGGACGAUGACAUUAGCUGCAGAAUAAGCACCGGCUAACUCUGUGCCAGCAGCCGCGGUAAUACAGAGGGUGCAAGCGUUAAUCGGAAUUACUGGGCGUAAAGGGAGCGUAGGUGGCUCUAUAAGUCAGAUGUGAAAUCCCCGGGCUCAACCUGGGAACUGCAUCUGAAACUGUAGAGCUAGAGUAUGUGAGAGGAAGGUAGAAUUCCAGGUGUAGCGGUGAAAUGCGUAGAGAUCUGGAGGAAUACCGAUGGCGAAGGCAGCCUUCUGGCAUAAUACUGACACUGAGGCUCGAAAGCGUGGGUAGCAAACAGGAUUAGAUACCCUGGUAGUCCACGCCGUAAACGAUGUCUACUAGUCGUUGGGUCCCUUGAGGACUUAGUGACGCAGCUAACGCAAUAAGUAGACCGCCUGGGGAGUACGGCCGCAAGGUUAAAACUCAAAUGAAUUGACGGGGGCCCGCACAAGCGGUGGAGCAUGUGGUUUAAUUCGAUGCAACGCGAAGAACCUUACCUGGUCUUGACAUAUCUAGAAUCCUGCAGAGAUGCGGGAGUGCCUUCGGGAAUUAGAAUACAGGUGCUGCAUGGCUGUCGUCAGCUCGUGUCGUGAGAUGUUGGGUUAAGUCCCGCAACGAGCGCAACCCUUGUCCUUAGUUACCAGCGGGUUAAGCCGGGAACUCUAAGGAUACUGCCAGUGACAAACUGGAGGAAGGCGGGGACGACGUCAAGUCAUCAUGGCCCUUACGACCAGGGCUACACACGUGCUACAAUGGUAGGUACAGAGGGCAGCUACACAGCGAUGUGAUGCGAAUCUCAAAAAGCCUAUCGUAGUCCAGAUUGGAGUCUGCAACUCGACUCCAUGAAGUAGGAAUCGCUAGUAAUCGCGGAUCAGAAUGCCGCGGUGAAUACGUUCCCGGGCCUUGUACACACCGCCCGUCACACCAUGGGAGUUGAUUGCACCAGAAGUGGAUAGCUUAACCUUCGGGGAGGCGUUCACCACGGUGUGG